rnacentral:rRNA from 1 species
CCUACGGGCGGCUGCAGUGGGGAAUAUUGCACAAUGGGCGCAAGCCUGAUGCAGCCAUGCCGCGUGUGUGAAGAAGGCCUUCGGGUUGUAAAGCACUUUCAGCGGGGAGGAAGGCGGUGAGGUUAAUAACCUCAUCGAUUGACGUUACCCGCAGAAGAAGCACCGGCUAACUCCGUGCCAGCAGCCGCGGUAAUACGGAGGGUGCAAGCGUUAAUCGGAAUUACUGGGCGUAAAGCGCACGCAGGCGGUCUGUCAAGUCGGAUGUGAAAUCCCCGGGCUCAACCUGGGAACUGCAUUCGAAACUGGCAGGCUAGAGUCUUGUAGAGGGGGGUAGAAUGCCAGGUGUAGCGGUGAAAUGCGUAGAAAUCUGGAGGAAUACCGGUGGCGAAGGCGGCCCCCUGGACAAAGACUGACGCUCAGGUGCGAAAGCGUGGGGAGCAAACAGGAUUAGAUACCCGGGUAGUC